CAGCAGCCGCGGUAAUACGGAGGGUGCGAGCGUUAAUCGGAAUAACUGGGCGUAAAGGGCACGUAGGCGGUGACUUAAGUGAGGUGUGAAAGCCCCGGGCUUAACCUGGGAAUUGCAUUUCAUACUGGGUCGCUAGAGUACUUUAGGGAGGGGUAGAAUUCCACGUGUAGCGGUGAAAUGCGUAGAGAUGUGGAGGAAUACCGAAGGCGAAGGCAGCCCCUUGGGAAUGUACUGACGCUCAUGUGCGAAAGCGUGGGGAGCAAACAGGAUUAGAUACCCCAGUAGUCCCUGUCUCUUAUAC
rnacentral:rRNA from 1 species